GCAUCCAAGUCAACGGACCCCAGCUAAGUGAACCAACCAAAUGUUCCUCAGGGCUUUGGUGUCAAUUGAUGCAAAGUGGCUACAUACAUAUAUGUUUG